GGGGAAUAUUGGGCAAUGGGGGAAACCCUGACCCAGCAACGCCGCGUGAGGGAAGAAGGCUUUCGGGUCGUAAACCUCUGUCCCAUGGGAAGAGCAGAAGACGGUACCAUGGGAGGAAGCCCCGGCUAACUACGUGCCAGCAGCCGCGGUAAUACGUAGGGGGCGAGCGUUGUCCGGAAUGACUGGGCGUAAAGGGCGCGUAGGCGGCCAGACAAGUCUGGAGUGAAAGUCCCGCUGUCAAGGUGGGAAUGGCUUUGGAAACUGUCUGGCUUGAGUGUGGGAGAGGAUAGCGGAAUUCCCGGUGUAGCGGUGAAAUGCGUAGAGAUCGGGAGGAACACCAGUGGCGAAGGCGGCUAUCUGGACCAAGACUGACGCUGAGGCGCGAAAGCGUGGGUAGCAAAC
rnacentral:rRNA from 1 species